CGCAGAGUUUUUGAUUCUAUGGUUUCAUCCCAUUAUCUUCUCCGCACAAAAUUUAGGGUUCAUGUUCUUCUUCCACCUGAAUCGAAAAGGCUUCUCAUUCGAUCUCAGAUACCAUGGAGUUUUGAGAUUUACAAUCCACGUGAUGAUUCGCUGUGUAGAUCUUCAAUCUUGACGUUUUGCCUUCUCUUAUAUCAACGGAAACGUCAACCGUUACACGUUCUUUAAUGCAUUUUUACUCCCUGCUCUAUCACUCGGAAUGUGUAUAUAUAUUUCUUGGAAAAUUGAUAUUUCUUGGAAAAUCACUUUGAGAUUUCCUAUUAUUAAUUUAUAGUUUCUAAUUGCUUUGACACUGAUUUCUGAUUAAGCGAUUCCUUUAAUCUUUUAUUACUUUCAUGUUUCCAGUUAUAUAAAGUGAUUACUCUCUUUCGCUUCUCUUCUUUCCAAUUUUUAAAAUCCCAGGACAUGGCGAUGAGGUUCGAUCGGUAUGAUCAGCUCCACAGGGACCUUCACGCCGCUCUCGCAACCACCAAAUGGCAGAUGAGUUCCGACGAGCUGUUCAGUCUAGCUACGACAAUGGUUUGAAAGGCGAAACUCGAGACAGGCAUCGUGAGUUUACUUUCGCUAUGGAGACUCGGGUUGUGAAGAUAGAGAAGUCUCUCAGAGAAGCUAGCAAAGGAACUCCGAGACAGGUUUGUUUGGACGAAGAUGAUCAAGGUGAUCAUAAUUAGCUUCCCCUUUCCUUGGCUGGACCAUCUUACCAUGAAAGGAAAAAACUUUCCAAAAGUAAAUCAGCUUACGGCGAGUGCUACUGAUGAGAUCAGUGCUUAGGUCAUCAUUUGUCCAACCUCCAGAAAGCAUUGGCGAGCCAAGUGUCCGACCUCCACUAAAAGUUCCCAGCUUCUCUGGCUUCUUGAACUAUAUGGAGUCUGGCUCCAAAAAAUCCGUUAGAAAGUUGAAGACGUUAGAUCGUCAAGGAGACUCUGAUUUCUUACUAAGCAAGAUCUUUCAACUGCGAAGAGGAUUGUUAUAAAAAGACACAUAUGGAGCAAUGCAGAGGCAAUCAAAAUGGUUUCAAUGUCAAAUUCGUAGCAGAUUCGUUCAAGCUGCAAUUUAAAUUCUUCUUGGACGUGUUCUUAUAAUAUAUCUUCUCUUUGCAAUUAGACAUGUGAAAUAGAAACCAACGCUUAAGUAUUAAGAUAUCCUGUUUGUCAUUGCAGUAGUUGUGGAAGAUCACAUAUGUAGAAAAAGAUAGGUAUGGAGGACCACUUAGAGGUCAUUCGUAUUCUGUAUACCGAGUCUAUCAACUGAUACAUUUGGCACCAUCUACAUUUUUAACCAACGAUGUUUGACGAUGAGAUUCAAGGAGAAGAAGCUUCAGGACCUUCUCUAGCUAGAAAGAGAAGAAAAGAAACUAAAAGACCAAGCUCUGCUCUUUCACCAAAACCAAAAUAUAGGAAUUCUUUAUCCUAAAAGAAGAUGAUCAUGCGCAAUGCAAUUGUUUCUGUAAAUUUGAAGGCACAGAAAGUAACACUUGAAACUCGUACGUGUUAUCCACGUGAAAUAGCCGAGUGUAUCUUGGUUCUUUUUUGUAUUUAAUUCAGCUAGAGUUACAAUAUGUGUUUGUUUAAGACUUUUAGUGCAAGUUGUUUUCUCUUCUCUGUUA